AGAGUUUGAUCAUGGCUCAGAUUGAACGCUGGCGGCAUGCCUUACACAUGCAAGUCGAACGGCAGCACGGGGGCAACCCUGGUGGCGAGUGGCGAACGGGUGAGUAACGCAUCGGAGCGUGCCCAGUAGUGGGGGAUAACCCGGCGAAAGCCGGGCUAAUACCGCAUACGACCUACGGGUGAAAGCGGGGGACCGCAAGGCCUCGCGCUAUUGGAGCGGCCGAUGUCUGAUUAGCUAGUUGGCGGGGUAAGAGCCCACCAAGGCGACGAUCAGUAGCUGGUCUGAGAGGACGACCAGCCACACUGGGACUGAGACACGGCCCAGACUCCUACGGGAGGCAGCAGUGGGGAAUUUUGGACAAUGGGCGCAAGCCUGAUCCAGCCAUGCCGCGUGCGGGAAGAAGGCCUUCGGGUCGUAAACCGCUUUUGGCAGGAACGAAACGGCGCGAGCCAAUACCUCGCGCUAAUGACGGUACCUGCAGAAUAAGCACCGGCUAACUACGUGCCAGCAGCCGCGGUAAUUC
rnacentral:rRNA from 1 species